rnacentral:rRNA from 1 species
AUGAACGCUGGCGGCGUGCCUAAUACAUGCCAGUCGAGCGAACAGACGAGGAGCUUGCUCCUCUGACGUUAGCGGCGGACGGGUGAGUAACACGUGGAUAACCUACCUAUAAGACUGGGAUAACUUCGGGAAACCGGAGCUAAUACCGGAUAAUAUAUUGAACCGCAUGGUUCAAUAGUGAAAGACGGUUUUGCUGUCACUUAUAGAUGGAUCCGCGCCGCAUUAGCUAGUUGGUAAGGUAACGGCUUACCAAGGCAACGAUGCGUAGCCGACCUGAGAGGGUGAUCGGCCACACUGGAACGGAGACACGGUCCAGACUCCUCCGGGAGGCAGCAGUAGGGAAUCUUACGCAAUGGGCGAAAGCCUGACGGAGCAACGCCGAGUGAGUGAUGAAGGUCUUCGGAUCGUAAAACUCUGUUAUUAGGGAAGAACAAAUGUGUAAGUAACUAUGCACGUCUUGACGGUACCUAAUCAGAAAGCCACGGCUAACUACGGG